UACGUAGGGUGCGAGCGUUAAUCGGAAUUACUGGGCGUAAAGCGUGCGCAGGCGGUUCGCCAAGUCAGGUGUGAAAUCCCCGGGCUUAACCUGGGAAUUGCGCUUGAAACUAGCGGGCUUGAGUGUGGCAGAGGGGGGUGGAAUUCCACGUGUAGCAGUGAAAUGCGUAGAGAUGUGGAGGAACACCGAUGGCGAAGGCAGCCCCCUGGGCUAACACUGACGCUCAGGCACGAAAGCGUGGGGAGCAAACAGG
rnacentral:rRNA from 1 species